rnacentral:rRNA from 1 species
AGAGUUUGAUCCCUGGCUCAGGAUAAACGCUGGCGGCGUGCCUAAUGCAUGCAAGUCGAACGGGAACCUCUUCGGAGGUCGACCCGUGGCGGACGGGUGAGGAGCACGUAGCUAACCUGCCCUGGUGUGGGGGAUAUCCUUCGGAAACGGAGUGUAAUACCGCAUGUGCUUGACCGAGGGGACUUGGUCAAGGAAAGCCGAGAGGCGUACCAGGAGGGGGCUGCGUCCGAUUAGCUAGUUGGUGGGGUAACGGCUCACCAAGGCGAUGAUCGGUCGCUGGUCUGAGAGGACGAUCAGCCACACGGGGACUGAGACACGGCCCCGACUCCUACGGGAGGCAGCAGCAAGGAAUUUUCCACAAUGGGCGCAAGCCUGAUGGAGCAACGCCGCGUGCGGGAUGACGCCCUUCGGGGUGUAAACCGCUUUUCGAGGGGACGAAGGCAAUGACGGUACCCUCGGAAUAAGGAUCGGCUAACUACGUGCCAGCAGCCGCGGUAAGACGUAGGAUCCGAGCGUUGUCCGGAGUUACUGGGCGUAAAGCGCGCGCAGGCGGAUACGCGCAUCGGCGGUGAAAGCCCCCCGCUCAACGGGGGAGGGUCCGUCGAGAUGGCGUGUCUGGAGGCAGGGAGAGGCCAGUGGAAUUCCGGGUGUAGUGGUGAAAUGCGUAGAGAUCCGGAGGAACACCAGUGGCGAAGGCGGCUGGCUGGACCUGACCUGACGCUGAGGCGCGAAGGCGUGGGGAGCGAACGGGAUUAGAUACCCCGGUAGUCCACGCAGUAAACGAUGGGUACUAGGUGUGGCGGGAGUUGACCCCUGCCGUGCCGGCGCUAACGCAGUAAGUACCCCGCCUGGGGAGUACGGCCGCAAGGCUAAAACUUAAAGGAAUUGACGG